rnacentral:lncRNA from 1 species
AUGCCCAACAGUAAGGAGAGGGAACUUAUAGAGCCCAUCUUUUUUUUUUUUCAAUUACUUAUAGUAAAUGAAGAGAAAAAUCUCAUUCACUAAAAAGAUACCUGUUGUGUAUUUUUCUCCCUAUAGGUAGAACUCUUAGGAUUGAAAAAAGUUUUGUAAUUUUCCAUCAGAAGAUUUGCUCUAUGUUUGUGUGGGAAAGACUUGGUCCCUAUUCUCAUGUACAGUUCAUUGACUUCUUGCUUAGAUUGAGUUUAUUUUUGGAAGAGAGUACAGUGGUAGGAACGUUUCUAUAGGUCAUUUCAGAAAGGCCGCCUGGGGCUGUGAUGCCAGAAACUCUGAAUACCGUGGCUAAAGAUUGGAGCUCUCCACAUGUCCUAGGUGUGCAACAGAGCUGAUUCCCCAGGGCUAUAGCUACAUAUAACUCACAUUAUUUCACAAUUUUUGAUGUGGAAAAGUAAACAACUGCUUUAAAGUGUGUGUGUGUAUAUAUAUAUUUAAAGGCUUGUGUAAGGAAGCAAAAAUAUAACAUAUAACACUAGAAAACAUAAAAGGGGGAAACUAAAGUAGGGUAAGAGGCUGACCUUACCGGCUCUUGAGACUUACUCUGACUAUUGUGCCAUCACUAUUUGGUAAGGGACUUACGGACAAAGAAGUUAUCUGUGAUGGUUCAUACCUAUAAUCUCAGCACUUGUGAGGCUAAGACAGGAGCAUGCCCUGAGUUUUGAGGCCAGCCUGGGCUAUUGAGUAAGACCCUAUCUUCAAGUAAAACAAAUUAACACAACAAAACAAAUAACAAAAGGAGAUUAAAGACGGAAGUAUGUAAGUAGAAUAGUAAUAAAAUAUGUGAACUGGAAAACUAGGAGUACAUGUCUGUGGAAUGGACAGCUAUAGACAGUAUUAAGGCAGUUGAAGUUUUAAGAAAUGUAUAGAUGCAUAUGUGUAAUUAGGCUUCUGAAUCGUAGGAAAGCAGUUCCCAUGAAAGGACAGUGAAAGCCUAGUACAUGCGAGGCUACAAAGAACUGAUAACUGUUGGAACUGUAAUAGGUGGCCUAUGAAAAACAGACAACAGAAAAUUAUUGUUUUGUGAAUAAAAGUGUGUAUCACUGUGACGAAGUUUCUUUUGUGAAGAGAAUUUGGCCUAUUAAGUCAGUGCAAAUUGACAUUGUAAAAUGGUUAUCAAGAGGUCACUUCAUAAUAGAGGUCACUAUCAAAAACAAAAACUCUAAAAUUAUUUGUACUUUUAAAUGGGGUACUUAUAUCUGCAUGUUGCAAA